UACGGGGGGGGCAAGCGUUGUUCGGAAUUACGGGGCGUAAAGGGCUCGUAGGCGGCCAACUAAGUCAGACGUGAAAUCCCUCGGCUUAACCGGGGAACUGCGUCUGAUACUGGAUGGCUUGAGGUUGGGAGAGGGAUGCGGAAUUCCAGGUGUAGCGGUGAAAUGCGUAGAUAUCUGGAGGAACACCGGUGGCGAAGGCGGCAUCCUGGACCAAUUCUGACGCUGAGGAGCGAAAGCCAGGGGAGCAAACGGG
rnacentral:rRNA from 1 species